GCUCAAAGGCGAAAGGCUUAUUGAUUACAUCCUCAGCUCCUUUAACAGUGAGGCAUUCAGCAACAGAGACAACUCCACGCGGAACGGCGGCAGAUGUGACGGACGAAGGGUCUUUGAACCAGAGAAGCUUGCCUUGUUUAAGAAUGAACCAUCGACGGCGCCAGGUCUUGAUAUACUCUCCUUGCUUCGUGAGCCAUCCGUCUCGCUCAGGGUUUGACCAAAAUUCGAUUUCCUCGUAGUCUGAGGGGUUAGGGUUUGCGCCGGUCACUGAUCGGAAUAGACUCUCCAUUUUAGUUGGCUCUUGGGCUUCGAAUUGGACGGAAUACUGUGAUUUGUAUCUUUGUAUUUAUCGCCGGCGAAACGACGGAGUAGAGAUCGUUGUGCUUCG
rnacentral:misc_RNA from 1 species